rnacentral:rRNA from 1 species
UACGUAGGGUCCGAGCGUUGUCCGGAGUUACUGGGCGUAAAGAGCUCGUAGGCGGUCUGUCGCGUCGAUCGUGAAAACUUGGGGCUUAACCCUGAGCUUGCGGUCGAUACGGGCAUGACUGGAGUUCGGCAGGGGAGACUGGAAUUCCUGGUGUAGCGGUGAAAUGCGCAGAUAUCAGGAGGAACACCGGUGGCGAAGGCGGGUCUCUGGGCCGAUACUGACGCUGAGGAGCGAAAGCGUGGGGAGCGAACAGG